GUCUCUGUAGCGCAAUGGAUAGCGCGUUGGACUUCUAAUCCAAAAGUCGUGGGUUCGAAUCCUACCUGGGAUG
rnacentral:tRNA from 1 species